rnacentral:lncRNA from 1 species
AUAUUAAAUUAAAAGACGAUAAUAAUAUUUAUGAAAAUUGAACUUUUGCUUGAAACACACGAGGCUUUAAUUUUACUCAUCGAACUUUCAGACUUUAAAAGUUUCAAUUUAAAAAAUCCAAUUUUAGAAUGCUGAAGUUCAUUAAUGUUUAAUGUUAUAUUAAGCUAGUCAGGGCCUUUUAUCGAAAACUGGUACCAAUCAGUGUUAAAGGCCGAAAGGACCCACCAAUGAGAAUGUCAAGAGUUCAAGGUCUGUGGCAUCUUAGAGUGGGUAGGAAAAACUUGUUGAAGGCAAAUUACUACUCCUGGAUGCCACAAUCGCUCUAUUAUUGUAUGAUUUGCAUUCCGAGAUUGUAUCUGAUUGAGGACCACCAACAUCACUUGCCACCUUUCAUUUUCGUCUCACUGCUAUCUUUAUCGCUACAAUAUCUUGACUGAUUGCACCAUUACUGUGCAGACACACAAAUUAGGGAUCAAGAAAAUUGGAGUUUCGGUACCAGAUCUUGUUCCCACUUAAUUUGCUAUUUUGAAAAUUUUUAACACCUCGGGAUGCGUACCGUCGAUGUGAUAUGCAUUCUAUAUUCUAGAAACAUUUCCUAAUGGAAUCUUUACAAGAACAAACUGGCAUAUCUUGAGCGCAACUUCUGUGAACUUUGACCUAUCCAAAUGUCAGAGAGACUAAUUGGCGCUAAUUGCGACACAGCUGCUAAUUAUAAAAUAGUCAAAAAAAAUCCAACGCACAAAAUUUUCUUUAUUAAAAUUUAUGUCUUGACGUGCUGCUUACACAAAAUUUAAUUAUUAAGAAGAUUUUUAAACAGAAAAAGG